AGAGGAAGAAUCCCAGCUAGCCUAUGGAUG
rnacentral:piRNA from 1 species